rnacentral:rRNA from 1 species
CCUACGGGAGGCAGCAGUGGGGAAUAUUGCACAAUGGGGGAAACCCUGAUGCCGCGACGCCGCGGGAGUGAAGAAGUAUCUCGGUACGUAAAGCUCUCUCAGCAGGGAAGAAAAUGACGGUACCUGACUAAGAAGCCCCGGCUAACUACGUGCCAGCAGCCGCGGUAAUACGUAGGGGGCAAGCGUUUUCCUGAUUUACUGGUUGUAAAGGGAGCGUAGACGGCAGCACAAGUCUGGAGUGAAAUCCCGGGGCUUAACCCCGGAACUGCUUUGGAAACUGUGCGGCGGGAGUGCAGGAGGGGUAAGCGGAAUUCAUAGUGUAGAGGUGAAAUGCGUAGAUAUUAGGAGGAACACCGGUGGCGAAGGCGGCUUACUGGACUGUAACUGACGUUGAGGCUCGAAAGCGUGGGGAGCAAACAGGAUUAGAUACCCGAGUAGUC